CAAAUCUCCACGCCUGGACACUGGUUGUUUCUUAAUUGACAAAGUCUUUGGUGGGCUCUGUGCGUACCCUCCCAUCAUUCCAGCAUGAGAAGGCAGAAGAAAGGCAUCCGGACAACUUUCUCCUGCAGCAAAAGGUAAGGCACCUUGGCUUCAUUCUGAUUUCUAACAAUGUGCACACCCAGACCAAGGCCCAGCCAGAAGGAGAAGCUGUGUCCAGUGUGUGGACCAGAAAAUGGGAAUCCCUCCAUCCAAGUCCCUCAGACCCUCGUCAUCUCCCUGCCUGUAUAUCGCCAAAUGCUGCACACAGCUGUCCCCCAUGGAUACCCUGCACCAAGCCAGGGUUCCAGAACCUAAGGAAUAGCUCUCUGAGAACCUCCCAUGGGGCUCCUGGGAUGUCUGCUGGCUGUGGUGGCUCAACAGUGUGCAUCCCACAGAAGACGUCAGAGAAGGGGAGGAGGAGCAGAGAAGCCGGCAGGUGGCAGGAAGAAGGAAGGAUCAUGGCGAGAGGAAACCAAACAUACCAGGAAAAAAAGUAGAAAAGCCUAAGUAAGUACAAGAAAACUUUUUUUGUCUCUCUAUUUUUGGCCAAGUGAAAAAAUAAAAAAUAAAAACCAAGAGACUCAGACAGAGCCCGUGAAGGGAAGGAACCAACUGACAAACUGCAGAACUGUGAAAUGCAUGCUAAUUACCUCACCCUUCCUCCUGCGCUGGGCUGCAACCAGAGCCCACAAGCCAUUUGUACGUUGGCCUCAUAAUGAUUUCAUUUUACAGAUUUCCUUCCACUUUUUUUUUCUUUUUCCUUUUUCUUACAAAGGCCAUCACAAUUCUAUUCUGUUUUGGGAAGUAGGAACAGGAUCUAUCUUUAGGAAAUUUAAAUGCCAAAGAGCUCAGAUAAGCAUAAUUGAGAAGCAAAGCCUAGUUGGUGUGAUCGAGACAAAUAUUAAAUCACAAAUAUUUGAAAUUCUUCCCCUUUGUGCCCUGAGGAGAGAAGUGCCUUUGUUUGCUGAACUGGCUCCUAGAACUACAGAACUACGUGGCCUUUGUCCUGCUGUGGAGGACACUGGGCAGGGAGAGACACCAAAGGAAGGCAAAAUAUUAGUCAAGUGCCUACCAUGUAUCAGGCCUUCUGCUAGAAGCUAGGAGUGAACCCUCAG
rnacentral:lncRNA from 1 species